rnacentral:lncRNA from 1 species
AAGCCUGGAUCAACAAAGUUAGAACAUCUAACUUGCAAGGUAAUAGAUAUGAUCUAUUAUAUUUUACAUAUAUUAGAUGUAGUAUAGAAAUAUGUUGAUAUGAUCAACAUGUAGUUCUUGCUCAUUAUAUUUUAAUUUUUAAUUUAAUGUCAUGUAAUAAUCAUAUAAUAGGAUCUUAGAUCUAAGAAUUCUCUAAUUUUAUAAGAUAAAUUUUGAUUUAUUUUAGUCUUCCGCUGCC